rnacentral:rRNA from 1 species
GCACAAGCGGUGGAGCAUGUGGUUAAUUCGACGCAACGCGAAGAACCUUACCAGGGCUUGGCAUCCCCUGACCGCGUAUGAAGUACGUUUUCACCCUCGGGUGACAGGGAGACAGGUGGUGCAUGGUUGUCGUCAGCUCGUGUCGUGAGAUGUUGGGUUAAGUCCCGCAACGAGCGCAACCCCUAUUGUUAGUUGCCAUCAUUCAGUUGGGCACUCUAGCGAGACUGCCGGUAAUAAACCGGAGGAAGGUGGGGAUGACGUCAAAUCAUCAUGCCCCUUAUGACCUGGGCUACACACGUGCUACAAUGGUUGGUACAACGAGUUGCGAGUCGGUGACGGCGAGCUAAUCUCUUAAAGCCAAUCUCAGUUCGGAUUGUAGGCUGCAACUCGCCUACAUGAAGUCGGAAUCGCUAGUAAUCGCGGAUCAGCACGCCGCGGUGAAUACGUUCCCGGGCCUU